UCCUUUGAAGUUAGCGGCGGACGGGUGAGUAACACGUGGGUAACCUACCUAUAAGACUGGAAUAACUUCGGGAAACCGGAGCUAAUGCCGGAUAACAUUUGGAACCGCAUGGUUCUAAAGUAAAAGAUGGUUUUGCUAUCACUUAUAGAUGGACCCGCGCCGUAUUAGCUAGUUGGUAAGGUAACGGCUUACCAAGGCAACGAUACGUAGCCGACCUGAGAGGGUGAUCGGCCACACUGGAACUGAGACACGGUCCAGACUCCUACGGGAGGCAGCAGUAGGGAAUCUUCCGCAAUGGACGAAAGUCUGACGGAGCAACGCCGCGUGAGUGAUGAAGGUUUUCGGAUCGUAAAACUCUGUUAUUAGGGAAGAACAAAUGUGUAAGUAACUGUGCACAUCUUGACGGUACCUAAUCAGAAAGCCACGGCUAACUACGUGCCAGCAGCCGCGGUAAUACGUAGGUGGCAAGCGUUAUCCGGAAUUAUUGGGCGUAAAGCGCGCGUAGGCGGUUUCUUAAGUCUGAUGUGAAAGCCCACGGCUCAACCGUGGAGGGUCAUUGGAAACUGGGAAACUUGAGUACAGAAGAGGAAAGUGGAAUUCCAUGUGUAGCGGUGAAAUGCGCAGAGAUAUGGAGGAACAC
rnacentral:rRNA from 1 species